rnacentral:rRNA from 1 species
UGAACGCUGGCGGCGUGCCUAAUACAUGCAAGUCGAGCGAACGGACGAGAAGCUUGCUUCUCUGAUGUUAGCGGCGGACGGGUGAGUAACACGUGGAUAACCUACCUAUAAGACUGGGAUAACUUCGGGAAACCGGAGCUAAUACCGGAUAAUAUUUUGAACCGCAUGGUUCAAAAGUGAAAGACGGUCUUGCUGUCACUUAUAGAUGGAUCCGCGCUGCAUUAGCUAGUUGGUAAGGUAACGGCUUACCAAGGCAACGAUGCAUAGCCGACCUGAGAGGGUGAUCGGCCACACUGGAACUGAGACACGGUCCAGACUCCUACGGGAGGCAGCAGUAGGGAAUCUUCCGCAAUGGGCGAAAGCCUGACGGAGCAACGCCGCGUGAGUGAUGAAGGUCUUCGGAUCGUAAAACUCUGUUAUUAGGGAAGAACAUAUGUGUAAGUAACUGUGCACAUCUUGACGGUACCUAAUCAGAAAGCCACGGCUAACUACGUGCCAGCAGCCGCGGUAAUACGUAGGUGGCAAGCGUUAUCCGGAAUUAUUGGGCGUAAAGCGCGCGUAGGCGGUUUUUUAAGUCUGAUGUGAAAGCCCACGGCUCAACCGUGGAGGGUCAUUGGAAACUGGAAAACUUGAGUGCAGAAGAGGAAAGUGGAAUUCCAUGUGUAGCGGUGAAAUGCGCAGAGAUAUGGAGGAACACCAGUGGCGAAGGCGACUUUCUGGUCUGUAACUGACGCUGAUGUGCGAAAGCGUGGGGAUCAAACAGGAUUAGAUACCCUGGUAGUCCACGCCGUAAACGAUGAGUGCUAAGUGUUAGGGGGUUUCCGCCCCUUAGUGCUGCAGCUAACGCAUUAAGCACUCCGCCUGGGGAGUACGACCGCAAGGUUGAAACUCAAAGGAAUUGACGGGGACCCGCACAAGCGGUGGAGCAUGUGGUUUAAUUCGAAGCAACGCGAAGAACCUUACCAAAUCUUGACAUCCUUUGACAACUCUAGAGAUAGAGCCUUCCCCUUCGGGGGACAAAGUGACAGGUGGUGCAUGGUUGUCGUCAGCUCGUGUCGUGAGAUGUUGGGUUAAGUCCCGCAACGAGCGCAACCCUUAAGCUUAGUUGCCAUCAUUAAGUUGGGCACUCUAAGUUGACUGCCGGUGACUAACCGGAGGAAGGUGGGGAUGACGUCAAAUCAUCAUGCCCCUUAUGAUUUGGGCUACACACGUGCUACAAUGGACAAUACAAAGGGCAGCGAAACCGCGAGGUCAAGCAAAUCCCAUAAAGUUGUUCUCAGUUCGGAUUGUAGUCUGCAACUCGACUACAUGAAGCUGGAAUCGCUAGUAAUCGUAGAUCAGCAUGCUACGGUGAAUACGUUCCCGGGUCU